AAGCUCGUAGUUGAAUUUCGGGCCUGUCCAGACGGUCCGCCUUAAUUGGUGUGUACUGUCCUUGGGUGGGUCCUACCUUCUGGCGAAGCGGCAUGGCCUUAAUUGGUUGUGUCGGGGAACCAGGACUUUUACUGUGAAAAAAUUAGAGUGUUCAAAGCAGGCAAAUAUGCUCGAAUACAUUAGCAUGGAAUAAUGGAAUAGGACGUUUGAUUCUAUUUUGUUGGUUUCUAGGAUCGACGUAAUGAUUAAUAGGGAUAGUUGGG
rnacentral:rRNA from 1 species